GAAUUGCCUUUGAUACUGCAUAUCUUGAGUCUGGUUGAGGUAGGCGGAAUGUAGUAUGUAGCGGUGAAAUGCAUAGAUAUACUACAGAACACCCAUUGCGAAGGCAGCUUACCAAACCAGCACUGACGCUCAGGCACGAAAGCGUGGGGAGCAAACAGGAUUAGAUACCCUGGUAGUCCACGCCGUAAACGUUGAUCACUCGUUGUUGGCAAUACACCGUCAGCGACUAAGCAAAAGCAUUAAGUGAUCCACCUGGGGAGUACGAUCGCAAGGUUGAAACUCAAAGGAAUUGACGGGGGCCCGCACAAGCGGAGGAGCAUGUGGUUUAAUUCGAUGAUACGCGAGGAACCUUACCCGGGCUUACAUGUACGGUGCAUUGGUGUGAAAACA
rnacentral:rRNA from 1 species